rnacentral:misc_RNA from 1 species
UCUCCGUUGGUGAACCAGCGGAGGGAUCAUUACAAAACGAGUGCUUCGGCUCUCCAACCCAUUGUGAACUUACCUAUCGUUCCCUCGGCGGGCUCAGCGCGCGGCCGGCCUCCGGGCCACCGGGCGUCCGCCGGGGACAACCAAACCCGAAUUUUUCGUGUAUAUCUGAGGGGCGAAAGCCCGAAAACAAAAUGAAUCAAAACUUUCAACAACGGAUCUCUUGGCUCUG